rnacentral:rRNA from 1 species
CAGUCGCCGCGGGAAUACAGAGGGUGCAAGCGUUAUCCGGAAUGAUUGGGCGUAAAGGGCUCGCAGGCGGUUUCUUAAGUCUGAUGUGAAAGCCCCCGGCUCAACCGGGGAGGGUCAUUGGAAACUGGGAAACUUGAGUGCAGAAGAGGAGAGUGGAAUUCCACGUGUAGCGGUGAAAUGCGUAGAGAUGUGGAGGAACACCAGUGGCGAAGGCGACUCUCUGGUCAGUAACUGACGCUGAGGAGCGAAAGCGUGGGGAGCGAACAGGAUUAGAUACCCCAGUAGUCCCUGUCUCUUAUAC